CUACGGGUGAAAUUGGUAGACGCCGGGGGACUCAAAAUCCCCGCCGCAAGGCGUGCCGGUUCGAUUCCGGCCCCGGGCACCA
rnacentral:tRNA from 1 species